rnacentral:rRNA from 1 species
UACGAACGCUGGCGGCGUGCUUAACACAUGCAAGUCGAACGGAAAGGCCCUGCUUUUGUGGGGUGCUCGAGUGGCGAACGGGUGAGUAACACGUGAGUAACCUGCCCUUGACUUUGGGAUAACUUCAGGAAACUGGGGCUAAUACCGGAUAGGAGCUCCUGCUGCAUGGUGGGGGUUGGAAAGUUUCGGCGGUUGGGGAUGGACUGGCGGCUUAUCAGCUUGUUGGUGGGGUAGUGGCUUACCAAGGCUUUGACGGGUAGCCGGCCUGAGAGGGUGACCGGCCACAUUGGGACUGAGAUACGGCCCAGACUCCUACGGGAGGCAGCAGUGGGGAAUAUUGCACAAUGGGCGGAAGCCUGAUGCAGCAACGCCGCGUGCGGGAUGACGGCCUUCGGGUUGUAAACCGCUUUCGCCUGUGACGAAGCGUGAGUGACGGUAAUGGGUAAAGAAGCACCGGCUAACUACGUG